rnacentral:rRNA from 1 species
AUUGAACGCUGGCGGCAGGCCUAACACAUGCAAGUCGAGCGAGAGGCGGACGGGUGUGUAAUGUAUGGGGACUGCCCGAUAGAGGGGGAUAACAACGGGAAAAGGUAGCUAAUACCGCAUACUAUCGGAUAAACCCCAUGGGAUUAGCUAGUAGGUGAGGUAAUGGCUCACCUAGGCGCCGAUCCCUAGCUGGUCUGAGAGGAUGAUCAGCCACACUGGGACUGAGACACGGCCCAGACUCUUACGGCGGCAGCAGUGGGGAAUAUUCCACAAUGGGCGCAAGCCGUAUGCAGCAAUGCCGCGUGUGUGAAGAAGGCCCUCGGGUGGUAAAGUACUUUCAGUGGGGAGGCGUUACCGGCAGAAGAAGCACCGGCUAACUACGUGCCAGCAGCCGCGGUAAUUC